rnacentral:rRNA from 1 species
UACGUAGGAGGCAAGCGUUUGUCCGGAGUUACUGGGCGUAAAGCGCACGCAGGCGGUCUUGUCAGUCUGUAGGGACGGGCACAGCUCAACUGUGUCAGGCUUACGGAAACUGCAAGACUUGAGGGCUUCAGAGGGAUGGGGAAUUCCGGGUGGAGUGGUGAAAUGCGUAGAGAUCGGAAAGAACACCAACGGCGAAAGCACUCUGCUGGGCCGACACUGACACUGAGAGACGAAAGCUAGGGGAGCGAAUGGG